GCAAGUCUGGUGCCAGCAGCCGCGGCCUUUCCAGCUCCAAUAGCGUAUAUUAAAGUUGUCGCAGUUAAAAAGCUCGUAGUUGAACCUCGGGAUCAAUGGAUCGGUCAUGCCAUCGGUAUGUACUGGUCUCAUUGGUUCUCACCUUCUAAGGAACCAUGAUGUCAUUCAGUUGAUGUUGUGGGGAAUUAGGACUGUUACCUUGAAAAAAUUAGAGUGUUUAAAGCAGGCUAACGCUUGAAUACAUUAGCAUGGAAUAAUGAAAUAGGACAUCGCAUUCUAUUUUGUUGGUUUCUAGGAUCGAUGUAAUGAUUAAUAGGGAUAGUUGGGGGCAUUAGUAUUCAAUUGUCAGAGGUGAAAUUCUUGGAUUUAUUGAAGACUAACUACUGCGAAAGCAUUUGCCAAGGAUGUUUUCAUUAAUCAAGAACGAAAGUUAGGGGAUCGAAGACGAUCAGAUACCGUCGUAGUCUUAACCAUAAACUAUGCCGACUAGGGAUCGGAUGAUGUUGAUUUUUUAAUGACUCAUUCGGCGCCUUACGGGAAAC
rnacentral:rRNA from 1 species